rnacentral:rRNA from 1 species
UACGUAGGGGGCAAGCGUUGUCCGGAUUUAUUGGGCGUAAAGAGCGUGUAGGCGGCCAGACAGGUCCGUUGUGAAAACUCGAGGCUCAACCUCGAGACGUCGAUGGAAACCGUCUGGCUAGAGUCCGGAAGAGGAGAGUGGAAUUCCUGGUGUAGCGGUGAAAUGCGCAGAUAUCGGGAAGAACACCCGUGGCGAAGGCGGCUCUCUGGGACGGUACUGACGCUGAGACGCGAAAAGCGUGGGGGAGCGAACAGG